AUUGAACGCUGGCGGCAGGCUUAACACAUGCAAGUCGAGCGAGCGGCGGACGGGUGAGUAAUGUCUGGGAAACUGCCUGAUGGAGGGGGAUAACUACUGGAAACGGUAGCUAAUACCGCAUACCAUCAGAUGUGCCCAGAUGGGAUUAGCUAGUAGGUGGGGUAAUGGCUCACCUAGGCGACGAUCCCUAGCUGGUCUGAGAGGCUGAACGGCCACAUUGGGACUGAGACACGGCCCAGACGCCUACGGGAGGCAGCAGUGGGGAAUCUGCCGCAAUGGACGAAAGUCUGACGGAGCAACGCCGCGUGAGUGAUGACGGCCUUCGGGUUGUAAAGCACUUUCAGCGAGGAGGCGUUACUCGCAGAAGAAGCACCGGCUAACUCCGUGCCAGCCGCCGCGGUAAUAC
rnacentral:rRNA from 1 species